GAGCUUCAAAGGCAACAUGAGGACAUAGACGUUUCCUCUAUUCUUCUUAAUCUUAAGGAGCUAUUUGAGGAACAAAGUUGAACUACUCGAUAUGAGAUAUCGAAGCAGUUGUUCUGUACCCGUAUGACUGUAGGCACCUUCAUGCAAAUACAUAUCCUAAAGAUGAUUGAUUUGAUCACUCAUCUGGAACAACUGGAUUUUAUCUUAGACGGUGAACUGAGCCAAGAU
rnacentral:lncRNA from 1 species